UACGAAGGGGGCUAGCGUUGUUCGGAUUUACUGGGCGUAAAGCGCACGUAGGCGGAUCGUUAAGUCGGGGGUGAAAUCCUGGAGCUCAACUCCAGAACUGCCUUCGAUACUGGCGAUCUUGAGUCCGGAAGAGGUGAGUGGAACUCCUAGUGUAGAGGUGGAAUUCGUAGAUAUUAGGAAGAACACCAGUGGCGAAGGCGGGUCUCUGGGCAGUAACUGACGCUGAGGAACGAAAGCGUGGGUAGCGAACAGG
rnacentral:rRNA from 1 species